rnacentral:rRNA from 1 species
UACAGAGGGUGCGAGCGUUAAUCGGAAUUACUGGGCGUAAAGCGUGCGUAGACGGUUAUCUAAGUCGGGUGUGAAAGCCCCGGGCUCAACCUGGGAAUUGCAUUCGAGACUGAAUAGCUAGGGUACGGUAGAGGGAAGUGGAAUUUCCGGUGUAGCGGUGAAAUGCGUAGAUAUCGGAAGGAACAUCAGUGGCGAAAGCGGCGAUCUGGGGAAGAUAUUGACGCUGAGGUGCGAAAGCGUGGGGAGCAAACAGG